rnacentral:rRNA from 1 species
UACGGGGGGAGCAAACGUUGUUCGGAAUCACUGGGCGUAAAGGGCGCGUAGGCGGCCAGCACAAGUCAGUUGUGAAAUCUCCGAGCUUAACUCGGAAAGGUCAACUGAUACUGUGCGGCUAGAGUGCAGAAGGGGCAACUGGAAUUCUUGGUGUAGCGGUGAAAUGCGUAGAUAUCAAGAGGAACACCUGCGGCGAAGGCGGGUUGCUGGGCUGACACUGACGCUGAGGCGCGAAAGCUAGGGGAGCGAACGGG